rnacentral:rRNA from 1 species
UCGAACGAGAGACCUUCGGGUCUCUAGUGGCGAACGGGUGAGUAACACGUAGGGAACCUGCCCGCGCACCGGGAAUACGCUCUGGAAACGGAGAACAAAUCCCGAUGUACAGGAAGGAGGCAUCUUCUUUCUGUGAAACAUCCUUUAGGGGAUGGGGCGCGGAUGGACCUGCGGUGCAUUAGUUGGUUGGCGGGGUAAAGGCCCACCAAGACGAUGAUGCAUAGCCGGCCUGAGAGGGCGGACGGCCACAUUGGGACUGAGACACGGCCCAGACUCCUGCGGGAGGCAGCAGUAGGGAAUUUUCGUCAAUGGGCGCAAGCCUGAACGAGCGAUGCCGCGUGAGUGAAGAAGGCCCUCGGGUCGUAAAGCUCUGUUGCGGGGGAAAAAAGGCAGCAUCAGGAAAUGGGUGCUGACUGAUGGUGCCCCGCCAGAAAGUCACGGCUAACUACGUGCCAGCAGCCGCGGUAAUACGUAGGUGGCGAGCGUUAUCCGGAAUGAUUGGGCGUAAAGGGUGCGCAGGCGGUCCUGCAAGUCUGGAGUGAAACGCAUGAGCUCAACUCAUGCAUGGCUUUGGAAACUGGAGGACUGGAGAGCAGGAGAGGGCGGUGGAACUCCAUGUGUAGCGGUAAAAUGCGUAGAUAUAUGGAAGAACACCAGUGGCGAAGGCGGCCGCCUGGCCUGUUGCUGACGC